GUCGAGAAUCUUUCACAAUGGGGGCAACCCUGAUGGAGCGACGCCGCGUGGAGGAUAAGGUCUUCGGAUUGUAAACUCCUGUCAUGCGUGAACAAGGUUGCUUGGUUAAUACCUGGGCAAAUUGAUGGUAACGCAAGAGGAAGAGACGACUAACUCUGUGCCAGCAGCCGCGGUAAUACAGAGGUCUCAAGCGUUGUUCGGAAUCACUGGGCGUAAAGGGUGCGUAGGUGGCGUGGUAAGUCAGAUGUGAAAGCCCGGGGCUCAACCUCGGAACUGCAUCCGAUACUGCCAGGCUAGAGUACUGGAGAGGUGACUAGAAUUCUCGGUGUAGCAGUGAAAUGCGUAGAUAUCGAGAGGAAUACCAAAGGCGUAGGCAGGUCACUGGACAGUUACUGACACUGAGGCACGAAGGCCAGGGGAGCGAACGGGAUUAGAAACCCCAGUAGUCC
rnacentral:rRNA from 1 species